CAUUAACGAGUUAGGGUCUCUCUGGCCCGACCUCCCAACCCUUUGUCUACUUGACCAUCGUUGCUUCGGCGAGCCCGUCCUCACGGACCGCCGGAGGGAUCUUUACUGGCCCUCUGGUCCGCGCUCGUCGGUAGCCCAACCUUUAAAAUCUUUAACUAAACGUGCCUUAAUCUAAGUACAAUUAUUAAAUAAAAGCAAAACUUUCAACAACGGAUCUCUUGGUUCUGGCAUCGAUGAAGAACGCAGCGAAAUGCGAUAAGUAAUGCGAAUUGCAGAAUUCCAGUGAGUCAUCGAAUCUUUGAACGCACAUUGCGCCCUUUGGUAUUCCGAAGGGCAUGCCUGUUCGAGCGUCAUUAUCACCCCUCAAGCCCUCGGCUUGGUGUUGGACGGUUUGGUGGAGGCCCCCUCGGGGGCUCCUGCCCCUCCCAAAGACAAUGACGGCGGCCUCGUUGGACCCCCGGUACACUGAGUUCUUCACGGGACACGUAUCGGACACAUGGGUUUACGGGACACGGUCUGCCUCCCCUCAGGGAGAAUCUUUCUAAGGUUGACCUCGGAUCAGGUAGGAGAUACCCGCUGAACUUAAGCAUAUCAAU
rnacentral:rRNA from 1 species